rnacentral:lncRNA from 1 species
UGCAUACCGGAGGAUGCCGUUUGGACUGUGCAACGCCCCUGCCACAUUUCAGAGGUGUAUGGUAAGUAUCUUUUCUGAUAUGAUUGAGAAAAUAAUUGAAGUGUUCAUGGAUGAUUUUUCAAUUUAUGGUGAUUCUUUUGAUACGUGUCUAUAUAAUCUGUCCCUAGUUUUAAAACGUUGUCAAGAAACUAAUCUAGUGUUAAAUUGGGAAAAAUGCCAUUUCAUGGUUUCACAUGGAUUAGUUUUAGGGCAUAUCAUAUCUGAAAAGGGAAUUGAAGUUGAUAAAUCUAAAGUAAAACUUGUUAGUUCUUUACCCAUCCCUACUACUGUCAGGGAGAUUCGUUAUUUUCUUGGACAUGCAGGUUUUUACCGUAGGUUUAUGAAGGACUUCUCAAUGAUUUCUAGACCCUUGUGUCGUUUACUUCAAAAGGAUGUAACAUUUGAUAUGAAUGAAGAGUGUGUUCUAGCAUUCAAUAAGCUUAAGGAGUUGUUAUCCACGGCUCUUGUAAUCAUGCCACCAGAUUGGAGUUUACCUUUUGAGUUAAUGUGAGAUGCUUCAGACUAUGCUGUUGGUGCAGUUCUAGGGCAGCGUGUCAACAAAGUGCCACAUGUCAUCUAUUAUGCAUCUCGAACAGUCAAUCAUGCACAGUUGAAUUAUUCAACAACAGAGAAGGAGCUUCUAGCUGUUGUAUUUGCUUUAGAAAAAUUUAGAUCUUAUCUGAUUGGGACUAAAGUUAUUGUGUUUUCUGACCAUGCAGCUUUGAAGUAUCUACUCACAAAGAUGCAAAACCACGACUCAUUCGAUGGAUACUUCUGCUUCAAGAGUUUGACUUGGAGAUCAAGGAUAAGAAAGGGAGUGAGAAUGUUGUAGCAGAUCAUCUUAGCCGACUUGUGCAUUCAAACACAAAGGAAGAUCUCAUCCCUGUACGUGAGAGUUUUCCGGAUGAGCAACUGUUUUCAUUAAAGAUUACUGACCCUUGGUAUGCAGAUAUUAUCAAUUAUAAGGUCAUUAAAAAGAUUCCGGAUGAUUUUACACGUGCUCAAAAAGAUAAGCUUGUCAAAACCGCCAAAUACUACGAGUGGGAUGAUCCUUAUUCGUGGAAAUAUUACACUGAUCAAUUGAUUAGAAGGUGUGUCCCCGAAUCUGAGUUUAAAUCUAUUCUAACUUUUUGUCAUUCUUAUGCAUGUGGUGGCCAUUUUGGAGCAAAGAGGACAGCCCUGAAGGUGUUAGAGAAUGGUUUUUAUUGGCCUAGUUUGUUUAAGGGUGCGUACGAGUUUUGUGCAACAUGUGAUCGUUGUCAACGAACAGGUAACUUGGGCCCAAGAAAUCAAACGCCACAAACCCCUAUUUUGGUUGUUGAGAUCUUUGAUGUGUGGGGCAUUGAUUUCAUGGGACCUUUUCCAUCUUCAAAUUGUUUUCUUUACAUUUUAUUGGCUGUGGAUUAUGUUUCUAAAUGGGUGGAAGCAAAAGCCACCAAAACUAAUGAUUCAAAAGUUGUUUCAGAUUUUAUUAAGAGUAACAUCUUUGCAAGAUUUGGAAUACCUAGAGCAAUCAUUAGCGAUGGAGGGAGUCAUUUUUGCAAUCGAACAUUUGAAGCGUUGCUUAGGAAGUACAAUGUCACACAUAAGGUGUCUACACCUUAUCAUCCGCAAACUAGCGGUCAAGCAAAAGUAUCAAAUCGUGAGGUGAAGCAAAUUUUGGAGAAAACUGUGAGUCCUAGUAGGAAGGAUUGGAGCAUGCGCUUGAACGAUGCGUUGUGGGCUUAUAGGACUGCCUAUAAGACUCCUAUUGGAAUGUCCCCAUUUCGGUUAAUUUAUGGGAAACCAUGCCGUCUUCCAGUGGAGUUAGAGCACAAAGCUUAUUGGGCGAUCAAAGCCUACAACAUGGACAUGAGUGUUGCCGGAAAGCAAAAGAAGCUUCAAUUAAAUGAGUUAGACGAAAUCCGGAAUUAUGCAUACGAGUCUAGUCGAAUAUACAAGGAGAAUUCAAAGGCAUUUCAUGACAAGAUGAUCUUAAGGAAGAGCUUUGUCAUUGGACAGAAAGUUCUUCUAUUUAAUUCUCGCAUUCGGUUAUUUCCAGGUAAGCUUCGUUCUCGAUGGGUUGGUCCAUUUGUUAUAACAAAUAUUUUUCCUCAUGGUGCAGUGGAAUCCAAAGUGCAAAGACCGGAUACAUGUUCAAAGUGAAUGGGCAUAGACUCAAGCCAUAUUACGAGUCUUUUGCGGAGCAUGAUGUGGAGGUUGUACCUCUCCAAGAACCAGUUCCCUUUGGAUGAUUACUCUUGGUACCGUCUGGUUGCGGACGUAAAAGCAAGCGCUUAUUGGGAGGCAACCCAAUAUUUCUAUUCAUUGCCUUUUUCUGUCAUUUUCAAUUUUCUUGCGUGCUAAACUGAAUUAUUUCUUUUCUUUGUAUUUGGGUUAUGUCCACCCUUGGAGUUGAUUGCAGAAUUAAAGUUUACGUCUAGCUCUAGACAGUAACUAAAGCACUUCUUGGGAGGCAACCCAAGCUUUCUAUCUUUCAUCUUUAUUUUGAAUAAUUUUAAAUGUUCUUGUUCUGUUUUUUUUUCUCUCUCGUUUUCUGAUUUUUGUGUUUAAAUCCUACUUUUGUUCCUUUAUGCAGGUAAUGAUUUUGCAAUCUCUACCACAACUUCUUGCAAGGUAUUUUUACAUUCAUAAAAACGAAAAGGAACAUACAGUAGAAAAAUUCAAAGAUGAGCAUACAAACAAGGAGUCUUCAUUGGUCAGGAGGUGUCGCAGCAGUCGAAGGAACAUCAGAAAGACGAAGUGUCAGAGCUUGAUUUUCCGGAGCACUUGGUGAAGCACCAGAUGAUGAGGGCAGAAGUUGCCUCGAGAGUAAAGCCAUAAACCUUUGAUGAUCACUCCGAGCCCGAACUUCAGCCUCCUGCAGCUGGUCCAACUUCUUCUUUAUGCUUGUUGAGUAGCUAGUUGCGAGCAUGUGCAACUCUUUAUUUUCAUGCCUAAGCGCUCUGACCUCUUGCCGAAGGCUAGCCACUUCAGCCAUCAACGACUCAACUUGACGAGUUCGAGUAAGAAGGCGUUGGCCCAUGUUUGAUACUGAGCCUGCACUUUGGACGCUGAAAGCCAAAGAAUCCUGAACAGCCUGCUCGUCAGACCGCUUAGAUAGCAUCCUACUGUCUCUUGGAGUACGAAGAUUUCUAGCAACCACUGCAGCUGUUGCAUCAUUUCUCAUCACAGUGUCCCCAACUGUAAGAGGACCGUUGGAGGAUAUGAAGGAUGGCUGCCAAAUGUUACCUGGAGACGAGAGGUCAAUAUCUUCUUCGAUAUUCAGGUCAAAACGACGGUCGGAGGGGCCAGACAUUUUCAGAGGUGUUAAAGAAAGAAGAGGUCAGACAAGUCAAGAUCGUAGAAAUGCAAGAAGGGAGUUUUCACAGGCAGAAAUUCAUGUGUGCUUUGAACAUCCUGCGAACCUUUAUAAAAAACAGCACACGAUGGGAUUUCAGGGAUCGAAGAGGCGAGUUCAGAGAUCGAUGAAGCGCCUGCUUUCUCCAAAGCUAGGCCUACUCAGGAAUCACAGGCUGAUCUCAGAUAGCGAAGACGCGCCUGUCUCUCUCAGCCCCGUCAGCACUUGUCACAUGCAGAGAAGGCUUUGAGGAAAUCACGGGCAGUUUGUCGAAGCGCCGAUUCUAACCAUCUGUCUUUCUCAGCCUCGUCAGCUUUGAGGAAAUCACGGGCAGUUUGUCGAAACGCCGAUUCCAACCGCCUGUCUCUCUCAGCCUCGUCGGCACUCGCUUUCUCAAAAGCUGGGCUUGAAAUCACGGGCCAAUCUCCCUUUUCUAAAUUUGUCCGCACUUGUCACAUGCAACCUUUGCACUCAACGAAGCUCAGAACUCGAAGCGCCAAUUCCGGAUAUUAAAGAAGCCUUUGCUUUAUCAGACAUGUCAGCAUCUGUCAAUUGCAUAUUUACGUUGCGUAAAUCACGCGCAAUUUGUCGAAGAUUUCUGGAGAAGCGGAAUGCACGUGAAGUUUACUGUUAAAUUACCCCAGGCUUGCUGACACGAGUACUAGAACAAUGCCUUCCCAGCCAUUAAGAAAAAUUCUACAAAUGUUAAAGGCAAUCUCACUCAACUUUCAGCCUCACACAACCUUUCUUCCUCUCUGAGAAUGUAUUCCCGAAUAAGCCUCUCGAGUCACUCUGUAUUUCUCAUCCCUUGGGAUACCCCUGCAAACAACCCACCCAGAGCAAAAGUAUUUCAUAUCAUAAUGGUUGAGAGCAAGAGUAUCUCAUAUCAUGCUUUCUCCCUGUCCUUUGUCUCGCUAGCACUUGGUAUCAAUCUUCCGAGCGGGGACCGACUGCCUGGAACCCCUUCCUGAUUGCUUACCUAACCUUGCUCUCGAGUACUCAUCCUUCUUAUAUUUCCUCUUCGUCUACCACAUAGGGGAAGUGAUAAUGAUACCUCGAAGCAUGUGGAUACAACGUGUUGAUUCAUCCUCAACUAAGGACAAGGGAGAAAGCAAGCAAGAGGUGGGCACUUGGAAAGAUUGAACAAAGAAACAGACUGACACCUCUACCUCGUGCCUGCCUACCGAGCAGAAGAAACAAGCAAAGAAGAAUGCAGACUGCACAAUCAAAUCAACCCAGCAGAAGGAGUCUGAAUUGAAACCCAGGAACUCUGAUAUUCCUCGCUCAGGAUUCCAAACCAGUUCGAGAUUCGCCUGCACAAAUUGGUGUGUUCUUUCCUUUUCUUUAUGUGUCUUUAUUUCAUUUUAUAUUUCUUUCCUUCCAUUUUCAUGUCUUAUUGUUAAAAAAAAAAUCCUUUCAUUAUCAUUGGGGACAAUGCUAUAAUUAAGUUUGGGGGUGGAAAUAUAUUUCGUUAGUUUAUUUCUCUAUUAAAAAAUUUUUUUUGCAUUUUUAUUGUUGUUUGUAGCUACUUCUCAAUUCAAUGAUGAGAUUUGAUUUUAAUUUCCUUCUUACUUUCAAGAAAGUCUAAGUUCUUUUCGUUGUCUUUGUGUUAACUGUGAUUUCCAGAAAUCAACUUGAAAAAUAAAUGUGCCUAGUCUUGUCAAUGUGAAACUUGAGCAUGAUUUAGCGUUUCAUAUGUGAAUCAUGUGAGAUUAUGUAAACCUUGUGAGUUUUUGAGCCUAUACAUGAUUGAACCAUUAUGCAUCAAUCUCAUUCCUUCUUGUGUGUAUGAUCUCACUGUACAUGUAUCUCUAGAACUUACUUUAUACUACUCGAUUCAUUAAUCAAUUCAUGUAAUAACUUGGAAGUGAUAUAGGCCAUCUUUGGAUCGUUUGAGCCUUUCAUGCCUACCUUAGAUGCUAUGUUUAUCUGUAGUAGCCCAUUGAGCCUUUAACUAAGCCAUUUCCUUGUUAGCCACAUCUCUUUACCUUGCUUCAAUAUUGGAGUUGAGCCCAUACACAAAAAUCGAUUCCUUAUUGUUUUGAGAAAGUAUUACAUGGGUUGUGCUUUUGGGGGUUUCAUUUAUGUAGAAAGAUGGAUGGAGUAUGUGUAUUACAAUGAAAUGUGAAUUUGAUGGGUGAUGUAGCUUUUGAAAAUUGUUUAAAAAAAAAAAACGAAAAAAAAUGAAAAUUGGAGAGUGUUGAUUUGUUGAAAAUGUGUCGGUACAGUAUAAAUUUCCUUUUAAAGUUAAAUUUGGGGAGUAACAGGUGCUCGAGGUUUUAUUAUUUUGCUUUCAAUUUGAGGUGGUGUGAUAUUGAGGUGUUGGAAAACUAUCAAAGUGUACUUUCUCAAAAUUUUUGAUUUCCAUAUCCUUUCUUUCAUUAGCCUAUCACCUUUAACUCCAUUACAACCGUAAUAAAGUCCUAUUGAUCCAAGGUAUUACUUAAAUAUUGAUAAGCGAGUUAGGUGGACAAGCAAGCAUAUGGCGGCAUGUACAAUGAGAUUACUUGAGUGAAACACAUUAACCAAAAAUUAUGAGUGAAUGAGUGUAUGUCUUGUGAGAAACUCACAUGUUUGCAUAUGAUGAUUUAAAGGAGCUUGGAAUUGCAUUGACAUGGCUAGCUCACACAUGGCAUUUCAACGUUUUGUUUGAAGGAAAUUUGGUUAACUAUUGGAUGAUGUUUUGAGCUCUUGCUUACUUCUUGGCAGUGUAUUUCAUGACUAGCACUUAUAUCUGAAAUCGAAAUUGAGAAGUUGGCUACUAAGUUGUUGAAUCUAGUCUUAGUUGAGUGGUUUUGUUUUGUGUUUUGUUUUGCUAGAGGACUAGCAAAAAUGUAAGUUUGGGGGUAUUUGAUCACUCAUAUAUUUCAUGCAUUUAUACCAUCCAUUUCUAAAGUCUUUGUGAUGUUUUUGUGUUAAAAUUGUGGCAUUUUACCUUACCUUGUGUUAAUGUACAGUUAAUUUUGUUUUAGGAUUAAUUUCAAAUAAAAUGGGCUGAAAAAAAAGGAAAACAAAUAAAAGACUAGAAGGUGGAGCACUAGGAAGUGUGAAUUGAAAUGGCUGCCUUUUGUUAAAGGAAAGGACACGGCAUAAAGAAGUAGACAAAGAGGAUGGCACACGGGACAGAAAGAAUAAAAGAAAAGAAAGCAGGGAGAGUGGACUGACAGAAGGAUAGCACAGCAGCAAGGAAAAAGGGGAAAUAAUACACGGCAAAGAAGUGGGGAAGACAUGGACAGAAAAAGCAGAGAAAGGAAAACAGAAAAUAAAGAAGUGGGAACAGCACGGACUGAGUGGAAGAAUUAAAAAGAGAGAGACUGACGUAAAAAGCAGAAAACUGGGCGUAGACAGAGGGGGGAGAGAGACUGACAGAGAGCAGAAGCACAGAUUGACAGCAGACGCAAGAGGCACGGCAGAGAGCAAAGCUUCACUCUAUUUUUCUUAGUUUUAUUUUCUCAAACCCAUGUUUUACUUUUGGUUUAAUUUGUGAAUUAUGUGUAACUAAAUUUUAAGUAGUUAGGGGUUGUUUUGAAGCCCCGAAUAUGAUUGUAAGUAUGUUGUGAUAUUUUGUUUGAAUGAUUUUUAUGAAAGGAUGAAAAUUGUUUCACUACUUAUGUCAUUGAUAAAUUCUUGAUGUGUUUCUAUGGAUGCAUACAUAGUGAGCAUAUCUAGGAUUUUAAUGCUAUGAAUAUAUGUUUACCUGCCCUUGUUGAAUGAGGACUUACAUAUGUUCUAGAGUAGCACUUGUUAAUUGUGGUUAACAUGUGACCCGAUUUCUAGGAUAAGUAAGACAACGCCAGUACUUACCAUGCCUUGUGAUGACUCAAACUCUUUUCGUUCUUAAUGAUUUCUACUUGUUAAAUCUAUGAACACGUCAUUCUAGAUUGCAUGCUAGGGACUACGUUAGGUUGAAAACGCCAUUCUCUUAACAUACUACGUAAGAAAGAGUAAUAGGUUGUGUUCUAACAUUGAGCCAACUUGAGCAUCUUCAUCCGGAAAUAAAAGGAAUUUGAAUGAAACAUAACAUGUUUGCAUGAUUAUUUGGUGGUGGAUAACAAUUCCCCUAACUCAUUUUUCUCAAACUUGUGAUCUACUAAAAAUCGGUUUCUGUACUGUUUUUGUACGAUUUAAUUUAAAUAGCAAAUCAACUCCAAAAAUCCCAAACAUUUGUGUGAGCAUAGCUUGGUGUGUCUAGUUUAUGUGUAUAAAUUUUCGUUGCAUUUGGAUAAGUAUAAGUUAGUCUAAUAAUUAUUGUUCGGGGGCUGGUCAGUGGAGACAGCCACCCCGUUUUUGUGACAUUUUAAGUAUUUGGAUAAAACAAUCUUCUACGGGAAAGACCCACCUCGUCUGCUGGUCACACUAAAAAAUCUCUCAUUUUGUUGACAGAGUGAUAAAGGGUCUACAAACAGAAAAAUUGAACAUAAAACAAACCAAAAUUAGGAGAUUUUUACAACAUUGAAUUAAUCCUGGAAAGAGGGCUAGAUUGAGAAAGAGAGGAAGAGAGGAGAGAGAGAUUACAAUACCUUGCCUCUGCGUAACACAUGCUAGGAGGUUAGGAGCAAGUGGCCCAACUACUGCCUAAUUUGAUAGAAUUUGGCCGGAAUUGAGCUCCCUGGCUCUCUAUCAAUUCCUCGGAAAACGUAGUAGUUAGGGUUUGAAUUGAAAAUCACAAAUUUGAGGCACAUUUUUACAUACAUUAAGUGUAGAAUGUACCUGAGAUUAUGAGGCGUUGCUUGAGACCAACCUCAAGGUUGACGGAAUAGUAGGAAUCAUCGCCGGAACCUUGAGAAAGCUUCAGCCUCUCCACCUCUUUAAGCAGCAGAACCCACCUUCUCAGUAUCUCAAGUCUUUCAGGUCCCCUGCAGGACACAACUGCUUCCUCCAAUCUCUAUAUACUUUUCUUCACCCUCCUAAAGCUCCGACCUCCCUGUAAACAAAUGUGAAUGAGAAAAAAAAAUGGUGGCAAAUGUGAAAAAUGAUGGAAAUUGUGAAAUUAC